rnacentral:rRNA from 1 species
ACCACGGCAUAAGGCUAAAUAACUCGAUGAAGACCGACAGUGAACUAGUACCGCGAGGGAAAAGGUGAAAAAGCACCCCUGUUAGGGGAGUGAAACAGUAACUGAAAUCAAUUGCUAACAAGUCAGUGGAAGCCGGCCAGUCCGGUGACCGCCUGCCUUUUGUAUAAUGAGUCUGCGAGUUAUUGCCCGUAGCAAGCUUAAGCCGGUUACCGGUGUAAGCGUAGCGAAAGCAAGUCCAAAUAGGGCGAAUAGUUGCUGGCAAUAGACCCGAAGCGGAGGUGAUCUAACCAUGGCCAGGAUGAAACCCGGGUAAAACCGGGUGGAGGUCCGAACUGGUCAACCUUGAGAAGUUGUCGGAUGAGCUGUGGUUAGGAGCGAAAGACUAAUCAAACCCCUGUGAUAGCUGGUUCUUUCCGAAAUAUAUUUGGGUAUAGCGUCGAGCGCUAAUCUACGGAGGUAGAGCACUAAAUAAGCUAGGGCCCCUACCGGGGUACUGAACUUAAUUAAACUCCGAAUACCGUAGAGUGUAGCUCGGCAGUCAG